rnacentral:rRNA from 1 species
GUGCCAGCCGCCGCGGUAAUACGGAGGAUGCGAGCGUUAUCCGGAUUUAUUGGGUUUAAAGGGUGCGUAGGCUGUUAUAUAAGUCAGUGGUGAAAUAUUCGGGCUCAACCGGGAUACUGCCAUUGAUACUGUAUAGCUGGAAUAUGGUUGCUGUGGGUGGAAUGUGUGGUGUAGCGGUGAAAUGCAUAGAUAUCACACAGAAUAUCGAUUGCGAAGGCAACUCACAAAGCCAUUAUUGACGCUGAUGCACGAAAGUGUGGGGAUCAAACAGG